rnacentral:misc_RNA from 1 species
AACGCACAUUGCGCCCGCCAGCACUCUGGCGGGCAUGCCUGUUCGAGCGUCAUUUCAACCCUCGAGCCCCCCCGGGGGCGCGGUGUUGGGGGCCGGCCCUGGCCGCCCCCGAAAUGCAGUGGCGACCUCGCCGCAGCCUCCCCUGCGUAGUAGCACACACCUCGCACCGGAGCGCGGAGACGGUCACGCCGUAAAACGCCCAGCUUACAGAGUUGACCUCGGAUCAGGUAGGAAUACCCGCUGAACUUAA